GGUGGGCGUGCGCGUGCGCAUGCGCGUGGGCGCGCCAGGCCUGGGCAGCCCAGGGACUCGGCCGCGCGGCGUGUCUUUGUUAAAGCAGAGACCCCAGCCCCGGCAAGAACAGGAAACUGGAAAUUGAAUCAGAUGCGGAGCGCUCAGAAACCGAAACUUAAGAAAUCGAAACUUAAGUAGGUUCUUGGUCUUGCUGACUUCAAGAAUGAAGCUGCGGACCCUCGCGGUGAAUGUUACAGUUCUUAAAGAUGGCGUGUCCAGAGUUGUUCGUUCCUUUUGAUGUUCAGAUGUGUCCGGAGUUUCUUCCUUCUGGCUUUUAGACUUGGACUGGGACUACACCAUCAACUUUCCUUGGUCUCCAGCUUGCAGACAACAGAUUAUGGGACUUACCAGUCUCCAUAAUCAGAGGGCUUUGACAGAUCAAUGCACCAGGGAUCUUACCAAACUAAAUUUUAAGCACUUAUAGCUCAAGAUUCUCCCUCUGAGAUGAAACAUACUUCCACCCUGUCAUGUAUCAGCUUCAGAAGAUAUCAAUUGCUCAAGAAAGUGUUGGACAAGCAGAAAAGCACACUGAACAUUUCUGGACUUGUGAAAGAGCUCUGAAUAUGGAUCUCUCAGGGAUAUUCCAUCCCCACCAAUGCUUUACCAAUGCCAGAGCUGGCCAGGCUGAGACAUUUAAUGAUAACAUGGAACAAUUUAUUCAGGAAGAUAGCCAACUACUCAUGUGGCUUUAUGAUUAUAAAACCCACUGAAAAUUGGGUCCCUUGAUUCUCUUGAUUUUUCCUAAGCCUUACUCCCUAAAGUCUCCAAUUUGAUGAGGUAUUUGAUACCUGAUCUCUCCUUGAAGUAAAAUUUGGAGCAAAAUAUAUUGGACUGGAAGGCCUAAGACCUCUGUAAGAAGAAACAUGAACCCCAGAGCCAGAGGUCAGGAGGUUUUCAUUAUAAUACUAUUGCCCUCUUAAAACAAAUACUGCAAUUGCCAAGGUUUCCUCACUUAAUAAUUUAUCUCAUAUGCGUUUUUGAAAGUUACUCUGAAUACUUCUUAUGUGUAUAAAUAACUUAGUUAACAGUAAUUAAGGCAGAUAUUUAAAGAAAUACAAGCAGGCAGGUGGGAUGAUGAGUACCGUCACUUGAUAAAGAACAGCUAGGUGGCCAGGUGCGGUGGCUCAUGCCUGUAAUCCCAGCAUUUUGGGAGGCUGAGGUGGGUGGAUCAUGAGGUCAAGAGUUCGAGACCAGCCUGGCCAACAUGAUGAAACCCCGUCUCUACUAAAAACACAAAAAUUAGCCAGGCGUGGUGGCAGGCGCCUGUAAUUCCAGCUACUCGGGAAGCCGAGGCAGGAGAAUUGCUUGAAACCGGAAAGUGGAGGUUGCAGUGAGCCGAGAUCAGGCCACUGCACUCCAGCCUGGGCGAAAGAGCAAAACUCCGUCUCAAAAAAAAAAAAAAAAAAAAAAAAAAAUAGAAUAAAAAGAAAAA